AGCAGUCGCCGCGGUAAAACGGAGGGUGCAAGCGUUGAUCGGAAUUACUGGGCGUAAAGCGCACGCAGGCGGUCUGUCAAGUCAGAUGUGAAAUCCCCGGGCUUAACCUGGGAACUGCAUUUGAAACUGGCAGGCUAGAGUCUUGUAGAGGGGGGUAGAAUUCCAGGUGUAGCGGUGAAAUGCGUAGAGAUCUGGAGGAAUACCGGUGGCGAAGGCGGCCCCCAGGACAAAGACUGACGCUCAGGUGCGAAAGCGUGGGGAGCAAACAGGAUUAGAUACCCCAGUAGUCCCUGUCUCUUAUAC
rnacentral:rRNA from 1 species